rnacentral:rRNA from 1 species
CCUACGGGUGGCAGCAGUGAGGAAUAUUGGUCAAUGGGCGCGAGCCUGAACCAGCCAAGUAGCGUGAAGGAUGACUGCCCUACGGGUUGUCAACUUCUUUUGUAAAGGAAUAAAGUGAAGCACGUGUGCCUUUUUGUAUGUACUUUAUGAAUAAGGAUCGGCUAACUCCGUGCCAGCAGCCGCGGUAAUACGGAGGAUCCGAGCGUUAUCCGGAUUUAUUGGGUUUAAAGGGAGCGUAGAUGGGUUGUUAAGUCAGUUGUGAAAGUUUGCGGCUCAACUGUGAAAUUGCCAUUGAUACUGGCAGUCUUGAGUGCAGAUGCGGUAGGCGGAAUUCGUGGUGUAGCGGUGAAAUGCUUAGAUAUCACGAAGAACUCCGAUUGCGAAGGCAGCUUACUAAACUGCCACUGACAUUGAGGCUCGAAAGUGUGGGUAUCAAACAGGAUUAGAUACCCCAGUAGUC